rnacentral:rRNA from 1 species
UACGUAGGGGGCAAGCGUUGUCCGGAUUUAUUGGGCGUAAAGAGCGUGUAGGCGGUUUGGUAGGUCCGCUGUGAAAACUCGAGGCUCAACCUUGAAUGCCGGUGGAUACUGCAGGGCUAGAGUCCGGAAGAGGCGAGUGGAAUUCCUGGUGUAGCGGUGAAAUGCGCAGAUAUCAGGAGGAACACCGGUGGCGAAGGCGGGUCUCUGGGCCGAAAUUGACGCUGGAGGAAGCGAAAGCGUGGGGAGCAAACAGG